CCCUGCUAUUCUAAAAAAAUAAUAUAUUUCAAAGAAAAAAAACAAAAUAAAUUUGACGGUAUUAACCUUUACAAAGGAAUUUGUUUCUAAAUCGAAAACACACGAUAAACCUUACUUAAUUUAUAUUUGUAUACCACCGUAUAUAGAAAUUAUUUAAAAUUAAUUUCAUAAAAAAUAACCUUAAAAUAUCAGGUCAAGGUGCAAUUUAAUUAAGAUGAAAUGAAUUACAAUAUUCAUAAACAUAUAAGAAAUGAAACUUUCUUAAAAAAAGAAUUUGAUAGUAAAAUUUUAUCAUAAUGUUAAUUUGAAAAAAUACAUUAAUAUGUACAUAUCGCCCG
rnacentral:rRNA from 1 species